UUUAAUGCCAUGUGGGUAGAAUGGAGGCGAUUCCCUUGGACAGAAUGAUAUUUUGAAGCAUAUAUAUGAUUCCGGGGCGCUUCCAUUUCAUUUGGAGUGGAGAAAAACUUCACGAGGGUUUUCUCUAGUUGUCUGUGGAAGGUUUCAAAUAGAGAUGUCACAGCGUAGCUAGAUUAAGGUGAUAUGCAAUAUCUAUUUCUUGAUUUGCAUGAUUAAAGCAUUAGAGAAGUAGCUCAGGUAUCAAAAGAUUUCUCAUAAGCAGUGGCGCCAAAGGUAAUUACUGUUAAAAUGUACACGCUCGAACCCUGGUCGCUCGUUAACUUCUAAGUUGUGUUUACAACUCUUUGGGUGGGAGUAAAAGUUUUCAUGUGAUUUUUGGAUGCCAAGACCCCUUUCUCACUCCAUUUUGAUAUCAACAGUAUAUUGAGCAUUUCUUAUAUCCUAUGUCUAUCACGAUGACAAUUAGCUUCAACUCAAAAAAGCAAUAAAAGGUAAAGAAGGCCCUUCUUACUAUUUCAUACUUUAAUUGUUUCUUAAGCAAAUGUAACCUUUUGAAGACAAAGCUAAAAUGUAUACUUAAAAAAAAAAAAACAACGAACUGAUUAAUUUAGUCAACCAACCUCCAGUUCCUUAUCAAAAAAUGCUGUUAAAACCCUACUGUAAGCUGGGUGCAUUAUGAUAGGGGGUGGGGACAGAGAGGGAAAGAGGAGAGGGGUUGUUAUUCUCAGCCUUUUAUUAACCAGUUUCUUUCAUUCUAGUGGGUCUUUAUUAUUUAGAAAAAUAAAAAUGAUCUGGGGCUCUAUCCAUUCUCACCUACAAUUUUGGAGUAGGUAACGGCUGCCUACAACGGGUCCAACAUAUGCCCCAAAACUAAAACAAACAAACUCAUUUGCCAUACAAAUUGUUUACGAUUCAUUAAAAAGCAAAAUUGCAUAUCCCGGUGCUGGCAGCUGAGGCCGAGCCUCCACGGGCGGAGGGGGCAUUCACUGAGUUGCCUUUGUAUGCUGGGAGGACCAAGCCGAGGUUCCCACUAUGCAGCCCGGAGUCUGUGCAGCCAGAUGACGCAUGAGUUUUUCUGGAGGUACCACUGAGCUAUAGUCUGCACUGCUCGUCACAUGGACCCCAGGCUUCAAGCAGGUACAGCAUCCAGAGAGGCCCCUUGUGCCUUGCUGCUCACAGCUUACAGACUCAGUGUCUUAUGUGG